CCCUUAGAUGUUCUGGGCCGCACGCGCGCUACACUGACGAUGUCAGAGAGUGUCUCCUUCACCGAGAGGUGUGGGUAAUCUUUUAAACAUCGUCGUGCUGGGGAUAGAUCAUUGCAAUUUUUGAUCUUAAACGAGGAAUUCCUAGUAAGCGCGAGUCAUCAGCUCGCGCUGAUUACGUCCCUGCCCUUUGUACACACCGCCCGUCGCACCUACCGAUUGGAUGGUCCGGUGAAGCCUCGGGAUUGUGGUUCUUGCCGCUUUAUUGUGGCGUGACCGCGAGAACUUGUCUAAACCUUAUCAUCUAGAGGAAGGUGAAGUCGUAACA
rnacentral:rRNA from 1 species